rfam:Eutrema salsugineum unplaced genomic scaffold scaffold_11, whole genome shotgun sequence.
AACCCAUGGUGAGGGCAUUUGUUUGUAUAGCUUCUGAAUCUCUCCCAGGCCUCUCCAAAGAUUUCAUUAUGGUGCUUUGUGAAUGACGAGAUCUGGUUCCUGAGCUU